rnacentral:rRNA from 1 species
CACGCAGGCGGCAUGGCAAGUCAGGUGUGAAAUCCCUCGGCUCAACUGAGGAACUGCACUUGAAACUGCUUUGCUUGAAUCCGGUAGAGGGAGGCGGAAUUCCUGGUGUAGAGGUGAAAUUCGUAGAUAUCAGGAGGAACACCGGAGGCGAAGGCGGCCUCCUGGGCCGGAAUUGACGCUGAGGUGCGAAAGCGUGGGGAGCAAACA